rnacentral:rRNA from 1 species
GACGAACGCUGGCGGCGUGCCUAAUACAUGCAAGUCGAACGCUUCUUUCCUCCCGAGUGCUUGCACUCAAUUGGAAAGAGGAGUGGCGGACGGGUGAGUAACACGUGGGUAACCUACCCAUCAGAGGGGGAUAACACUUGGAAACAGGUGCUAAUACCGCAUAACAGUUUAUGCCGCAUGGCAUAAGAGUGAAAGGCGCUUUCGGGUGUCGCUGAUGGAUGGACCCGCGGUGCAUUAGCUAGUUGGUGAGGUAACGGCUCACCAAGGCCACGAUGCAUAGCCGACCUGAGAGGGUGAUCGGCCACACUGGGACUGAGACACGGCCCAGACUCCUACGGGAGGCAGCAGUAGGGAAUCUUCGGCAAUGGACGAAAGUCUGACCGAGCAACGCCGCGUGAGUGAAGAAGGUUUUCGGAUCGUAAAACUCUGUUGUUAGAGAAGAACAAGGACGUUAAUAACUGAACGUCCCCUGACGGUAUCUAACCAGAAAGCCACGGCUAACUACGUG